rnacentral:rRNA from 1 species
GACAGAGGGGGCAAGCGUUGCUCGGAAUUACUGGGCGUAAAGGGCGCGUAGGCGGGAUGCAAGUCGGUCGUGAAAUCCUUCGGCUCAACCGAAGAACGUCGAUCGAUACUGCUGUUCUUGAGGGUUGCAGAGGAGACUGGAAUUCCCGGUGUAGCGGUGAAAUGUGUAGAGAUCGGGAGGAACACCGGUGGCGAAGGCGGCCCACUGGAUCGGUACUGACGCUGAGGUGCGAAAGCGUGGGGAGCAAACAGG